rnacentral:rRNA from 1 species
UACGUAGGGGGCAAGCGUUGUCCGGAAUCAUUGGGCGUAAAGCGCGUGUAGGCGGCUUGGUAAGUCCGUUCUGAAAGCCCGGGGCUCAACCCCGGGAGGCGGAUGGAUACUGUCAAGCUUGAGUCCGGAAGAGGCGAGUGGAAUUCCCGGUGUAGCGGUGAAAUGCGCAGAUAUCGGGAAGAACACCCGUGGCGAAGGCGGCUACUCUGGGACGGUACUGACGCUGAGACGCGAAAGCGUGGGGAGCGAACAGG